GAUAUCAACUGAAAAAGUCAUCAACAACAAAGUUGAAUAACUCAUCAAGAUCUAAAACUUUUAUUUUGGUCAUUUCUUCAUACGACAAAGUGAUAGUAACAUUGUUCACAAAAUUAACACAUCUCUUAUCUGGUUUUAUAAACUAUAACACAUAUAUGUAAAAUUUGUGAAUAAUAUUGCUAACAUUUUGUCGGAUGAAGAAAUAACAAAAAUAAAAAUUCAAGAUCUUGAUGAGUUAUUCAACUUUGUUGUUGAUGACUUUUUCAAUGAAAUC
rfam:Oryza barthii chromosome 3, whole genome shotgun sequence.